rnacentral:rRNA from 1 species
CAGCCGCCGCGGUAAUACGAAGGGGGCUAGCGUUGUUCGGAUUUACUGGGCGUAAAGGGUGCGUAGGCGGAUUGUUAAGUCAGGGGUGAAAUCCCGAGGCUCAACCUCGGAACUGCCUUUGAUACUGGCGAUCUUGAGUCCGGGAGAGGUGAGUGGAACUGCGAGUGUAGAGGUGAAAUUCGUAGACAUUCGCAAGAACACCGGUGGCGAAGGCGGCUCACUGGCCCGGUACUGACGCUGAGGCACGAAAGCGUGGGGAGCAAACAGGAUUAGAUACCCCGGUAGUCCCUGUCUCUUAUAC